AGAGCUGGGCUGUUACUGGAUAUAUGCCAUGUGAGCUGGAUGGCCUGUGAAAGAGAAAGGCAGUUGGUGAUAAAAAUAAUUGGAUGAUUCUUAAAGAAAUAGAAGAGACUUGCUGUUGGCAGUGAGAACCCACAGGAGGCCUCUAAGGAGAUGAUUAUACCUUAACCAUGUAUUUUCAACAAUAUUGGAGAGAUAAAAGGCUCGCCUAUUCUGGGAUCCCUCUCAACCUCACGCUUGACAAUCGAGUGGCUGACCAGCUAUGGGUGCCCGACACAUAUUUCUUAAAUGACAAAAAGUCAUUUGUGCAUGGAGUGACAGUGAAAAACCGCAUGAUCCGUCUUCACCCUGAUGGGACAGUGCUGUAUGGGCUCAGAAUCACCACGACAGCAGCAUGCAUGAUGGACCUCAGGAGAUACCCCCUGGAUGAGCAGAACUGCACUCUGGAAAUUGAAAGCUAUGGCUACACCACGGAUGACAUUGAGUUUUACUGGCGAGGCGGGGACAAGGCUGUUACCGGAGUGGAAAGGAUCGAGCUCCCGCAGUUCUCCAUCGUGGAGCACCGUCUGGUCUCGAGGAAUGUUGUCUUCGCCACAGGUGCCUAUCCUCGACUGUCACUGAGCUUUCGGUUGAAGAGGAACAUUGGAUACUUCAUUCUUCAGACUUAUAUGCCCUCUAUACUGAUAACGAUUCUGUCGUGGGUGUCCUUCUGGAUCAAUUAUGAUGCAUCUGCUGCUAGAGUUGCCCUCGGGAUCACAACUGUGCUGACAAUGACAACCAUCAACACCCACCUUCGGGAGACCUUGCCCAAAAUCCCCUACGUCAAAGCCAUUGACAUGUACCUUAUGGGCUGCUUCGUCUUUGUGUUCCUGGCCCUUCUGGAGUAUGCCUUUGUCAACUACAUUUUCUUUGGAAGAGGCCCUCAAAGGCAGAAGAAGCUUGCAGAAAAGACAGCCAAGGCAAAGAAUGACCGUUCAAAGAGCGAAAGCAACCGGGUGGAUGCUCAUGGAAAUAUUCUGUUGACAUCGCUGGAAGUUCACAAUGAAAUGAAUGAGGUCGCAGGCGGCAUUGGCGAUACCAGGAAUUCAGCAAUAUCCUUUGACAACUCAGGAAUCCAGUACAGGAAACAGAGCAUGCCUCGAGAAGGGCAUGGGCGAUUCCUGGGGGACAGAAGCCUCCCGCACAAGAAGACCCAUCUACGGAGGAGGUCUUCGCAGCUCAAAAUUAAAAUACCUGAUCUAACCGAUGUGAAUGCCAUAGACAGAUGGUCCAGGAUCGUGUUUCCAUUCACUUUUUCUCUUUUCAACUUAGUUUACUGGCUGUACUAUGUUAACUGAGUGACUGUACUUGAUUUUUCAAAGACUUCAUUUAACACUGAGUGAAAUAUUACUCUGCCUGUCAAGUUUUUAUACCUGUACACACACAGACACACACACAAGCAGACACACACAUAUAUACAUACGCAAUUGUAUAUAUAUGUGAACUUUCUCAGCAUAUAUAU
rnacentral:sRNA from 1 species